rnacentral:rRNA from 1 species
UACGGAGGGUGCGAGCGUUGUCCGGAAUCACUGGGCGUAAAGGGCGCGUAGGCGGCGCGGGAAGUCAACGGUGAAAGCUUGGGGCUCAACUCCGAGUCGGCCGUCGAUACUCCCGUGCUUGAGCACUGUAGAGGCGGAUGGAAUUCCGGGUGUAGCGGUGGAAUGCGUAGAGAUCCGGAAGAACACCGGUGGCGAAGGCGGUCUGCUGGGCAGUAGCUGACGCUGAUGCGCGACAGCGUGGGGAGCAAACAGG